UGUAUUAUGUGAGUAAUAAGAAAGACUAAUAUGUAAUGAUUACUAUUUCAAUUUGUUUUGCAUGUAGGACAAGUUUCAAAUUGGAGACGAUUUCCACAAUGACUUACAAGCACAGGAGAUUGUGAAUAAGAAGGCCUAUGGGUUGUACAAAGAUUGGAGGUACACCUUGAAGCAAGAAUUCGAAUUGUUAGAGGGACUUCCACGUGAUGAGAUCUAUGCUCAUCCGCCGAUAGGGGUGAGUUUAGAUGAUUGGAAGCAUUUGAUCGAUGUGGCAUGGCAAGAUGCAUCUCACCAGAAACGGUCAAAAGCUGGCAAGAGUAAUAGGAGUCAAUUGCCGUACAAUCAUACCAAUGGGUCUCGCUCAUUUCCUAUCGCAAUGGCUGCUAUGGUAGCAAAAGAUGGAGAGUUGGAUUUCCCAAAGUUCUAUGAGGACAGCCACACUUCAAAGAAACGAAUGACUGGAUCCAUCCGAAAUGCCGUGAGCUGCAU